CUUUGAUCGGCAAAGGCUGUACUCUUUCUCUAAUGAAGGUGAAUGCCAAGGGAAGUCAGAGAAAUGAGUGAGAGGUAUACGUGGGGUAUUUGGUCUACACUAUCUUUAGAAUAAGGUAGGACAAGGAACAUCAGCUAGGACCGAUCAAGUCAGCUCCUCUUCAUCUUUUAAAUUGGAAGGAAGCACCUGAGACAUCAACUAUUGAAUGAAGCAUAGUACUCACCUUAAUUUUGCUUUAAAUUAUUUAGUCUUUGUUACACAAUAAGCUCUUUUACUACUCACUUUAGCCUGUGUAUUUUGAUUUGUUCAUUUAUUGACUUGCCUGAUUAUCACCCAGUAUUUAAAUAAAUUAUGAUUCUAACUAUAAAUAUGGACUUUGGUGAACCCUUACAUUAAAAUAAAAAAUAAACUCAAUCUUACAAAUCAUUUUUGAACUGCUGUUGCUCAGAAACUGAAAUCUCAAGGAAUAGAACCAGAAUAUUUUAUCAACUAAACCUGAACAGAACUUCUAUAAAUUACAAAAACUAUUUAAAGCCUUUUACUUGUUCAUAAAGAAAUACAAAUAAUUAAUGUCAAGUCUUCAAUUACAAGAACGGGUAUAUCCUCAUGUGAUUCAAUGUAGGGAGCCCUCUGGGUCCCCUUUCUAGCUUAACAUUCUCCAUCGCCUAUUUAGUUCUACUUGUUUUCAUAAGGGAAUAUAUUAUCUUUCAACGUGGGCCUCUAGAAUUUCUUAAGUUUGAAAAAGUUCAUCUUCAUAGCUAUCAGAUGUUAAACUGCUUUAAGCAUCUUUGUAAAGGGAAUGCAAGUCAUUGCAAAUACAAUGUUGAAUUCAUUGCUUUGCAUAUACUAAUCUUUGGUUUUACUGAAUAAAUAAUAAAUAUUACAUAGAAUGCAAAAUAUACACUCAGAAAUUUAAAUGUGUAUAAGGACUGUACUGAUGAAAUCUGUAUCUUUGAAUUUUUGAUCAAAUGCUAAAUUCAGUGUCUUUAUGUGAGAUAUGACAUCUCUCACACAAUUCAUAAAUCUAAUUUGUCAUCUUUUAUUUAAUCAUGUUUAUAUUAUGUAACAAAUGUAUAUAAAAUAUAUAUCAUCUACAUUUCGUAUUUUUGUGUCAUAUGCAUAGUUCUAAUUGUAAUGUAAUUUAAGAAAAUACACUUGUAUAUUUUAUAUCACCAAAUAAAUUGUGGAAGAAAAGUAGAAAAUAUAUAAGAAACAAUGUAUACAGAAUAAAAAUGUAUAAUCAAGGGCAUACGAAUAUACUGGAGCUAAAUGACUAAUGAAAAUUAUAAAAAAGAUAUAAUAGUUCUAGUUUGGUCAAAGCAUACAGACAUUAUCUUUGGCUUUAGUGAGCUUAUCGAGAAUGAAUUGGGUAUGAAUGCAUGCUUUGCCAGCCCUGGGUGCAAAUUAUAAUGCUGCCAUUGAUUAGCUAUGUGAGUUCCUCAACGUUUAUAAGACUAGGUUUUCUCAUCUGUCAAACAGACCUAAAAACUUGUUUAAUUUUUUUUUAUACAAUCUAAGUACCAACCUUAGAUUGGCUCCUUAGGCCAGGACAAUUCCAAACUGUGAUGGUAAAUAAGAUAAACUUUAGUAUAAUUGCUAGAACAUAUGCUUUCUGAACUGGGAUUAUGUCAGGAGAAACUGGGGAAAAAAUGGAAAAUGAACCCAGACUCAAAGGACAGUGAAGAUAUUGACCUUGUUUGAUUGUCUCAUUCUUCAAAACAGGCUGAAGAGUACAAGGUUCUUCUCCUGGCUAAAAUAUUUGCAGCUAUAUGAUUGUAUAAUUCAACUUUUGUUCAAUUUCAAUAAUGAAGUGGGGGAGAAAAUAUAGCUGCACUAAAUUACCUGCUCCCUGCACAGAUUUGAAUAUUUAAUACCUCAAUCAAUGGCAAAGCAAUUAUAAAUGUCUGCAAAUAAAAAUAAUUCCUUGUUCCUGGUGUGCAAACAUAUGUAUGUGCCUCCUUUGCCAGUUACAAUAAAAGUUUGAAAAGCGUCUUGGGAACUACUUGUCAUCCUUCAUUGUCCUCAUAGUGUACUGAAAUCAAGUAUCUUUAUCUUGGUAAAAUAUGACUCAUUACUG
rnacentral:lncRNA from 10 species